UAACGCGUGAGGAACCUGCCUUCCAGAGGGGGACAACAGUUGGAAACGACUGCUAAUACCGCAUGAUGCGUUGGAGCCGCAUGACUCCGACGUCAAAGAUUUAUCGCUGGAAGAUGGCCUCGCGUCUGAUUAGCUAGUUGGUGAGGUAACGGCCCACCAAGGCGACGAUCAGUAGCCGGACUGAGAGGUUGGCCGGCCACAUUGGGACUGAGAUACGGCCCAGACUCCUACGGGAGGCAGCAG
rnacentral:rRNA from 1 species